UACGAAGGGGGCAAGCGUUGUUCGGAAUUACUGGGCGUAAAGGGCUCGUAGGCGGCCAACUAAGUCAGACGUGAAAUCCCUCGGCUUAACCGGGGAACUGCGUCCGAUACUGGAUGGCUUGGAUUUGGGAGAGGGAUGCGGAAUUCCAGGUGUAGCGGUGAAAUGCGUAGAUAUCUGGAGGAACACCGGUGGCGAAGGCGGCAUCCUGGACCAAUAUUGACGCUGAGGAGCGAAAGCCAGGGGAGCAAACGGG
rnacentral:rRNA from 1 species